AGGGCUGGCAAAUUCCACAUUCAAAAUCCAGGUGUGAACUGGAAUUUUCAAGAAUGACAGCCAGGAGCAUGCUGCCUCAGUACCCCCUGGGGAAAGAUAACUAACCCUCUUCAGUUCCAGUGAUCAAGACUGUCAUGGGAAAAUUAUGCUCUUUAAUGAACUUCAGCUCUAUCAGAUAAUUCAGCUACCGAGAAGGAAGCCACACAGAAGCUAGAGAUGCUGGGAGGAGGGGAGAUUCCUAAUGAGGACUUCAGGGAUCCCAGAUGCAGCCAUGCCUGAUGCUGAUGUGUCCUUGGCUAUUUUACUGCAUAUCCAGUUGAUUAUCUAUAAACUCCUACCCUAAGCCAAUUUAUUUUGAUUUCUGUCCUGACAAGUGAGAGCUCUAAUACUUACACUCUAUCAGGACAAUUGAAAGAAUAGAAGAAGGGAGGGAGGGAAUGGUAGGCUUGGAAAUCAGGACUCCUCCAGGAUGGCUUCAAAACAAACCCUUCUGCUCCUGCAGACCUUCUCUGGUCUGGCCCAUACUCCACAGUGAGACAGAAUCAGACUAGUCUCUGGAGGUAUGAAGGUACACGUAAAGUUUCUUACAAAGCCAAAAAAGAAAUUAUUUGGCUGGUUACUCAGCGUGAUGGUUAAUAUUGAGUGUCAACUUGAUUGGAUUGAAGGAUGCAAAGUAUUGUUCCUGAGUGUGUCUGUGAGUGUUGCCAAAGGAGAUUAACAGUUGAGUCAAUGGACUUGGGAGAGGCAGAACCACCCUCAAUCUGGAUGGGCACAUCUAAUCAGCUGGCAGCAUGGCUAGAAUAAAGCAGCCAGAAGAGAGUAGAAGGACUUGAUUGUUGAGUCUUCUGGCCUUCAUCUUUCUUCCAUGCUCAAUGCUUCCUGCCCUCAAACAUCAGACUCCAAGUUUUUCAGCUUUUGGACUCUUGGACUUAACACGAAUGGUUUGUCAGGGGCUCUCGGGCCUUCGGCCACAGACUGAAGGCUGCAUUGUUGGCUUCCCUACUUUUGAGGUUUUGGGACUCAGACUGGCUUCUCUGCUCCUCAGCUUGGAGAUGGCCGGUUAUGGGACUUCACCUUGUGAUCACGUGAGUCAAUACUCCGUAAUAAACUCCCCUUCAUAUAUACAUCUAUCCUAUUAGUUCUGUCCCUCUAGAGAACCCUGACUGAUACGCUCAGUAAACACUUAUUUUCUGGCUUUGCCUUUCUUGAAGUUUGAUUUAUAUGAUUCUUUGACAACAAUUAACUGCCAGACUAGCUCUUGUAAGAGGUCCAUAUGCACAGGUGUGUACAAUACUUAGUUAUCAUUUAAGCUUCUGACUAAUCUCCAAUAAUCAACACCUGGAUGUGUUUGUGAGCAAAGCCUCCAAGUCAGAGUGAAACAGACAAUAAGGAACAGAACAAAUUGUCCUUGACCAGAUUGCUUAAAAUUGUUAUCCCGAUUUUUGAGCAAUUCAAGACCUGUUUGUGUGACCGCGGGAAAUGGGUCAGAGGAAUAACAAGUAUGAACCACAGAGGAGGUGUCUUAUAAGAGCUGGCCCCUGCCAAGGAAGACUUUGUUUGCAUUCUUCUCUCUAUGCAACCCUGAAACAGGACCUUUAAGAAUUUCAAUCUCAUCCUAAAUCAAAUUCCAAAGUAUUCUUUGAUCUAUAAUGAAAACCCAAAUAAGAUGAUAAUCAUUAACUCAAAUAAAUGCCCUGUUUACAAAACCAUUGUGACCAUUUGGCAGUUGUAAAUAACUCUUUGUCUAGGAUUGGAAAACUGGACAGAGAAGCAGGAUAUACAAAUUAUCAAGAAUGUGAGGGGAGGGAGAAAGGUGGGGCUAACAAGAGAAAAGCAGAGAUACUGAGUAACUUGGAGAACAAUAAAAGGCAGGCUAGGGGGACUUAAGGAAGAAGCCAGGGUAGAACACCUAAAAAUAGCAGAAGCAUAGGAAAUUGUCCUAAAGAUAUUUGAUCUGCCAUUGUACUCCAGAUCCUGCCAUUUCAAGUUCAGAUCUAUAAAAAGGCAUGUUUUAGACACGUAUCAUCUCCUUCCUAUCUGUUCAGCAAAGGUACUGAUUGCGCAUCCUGCUUCAAGCCGGUGGUCCUUAUAGCAGGAUUCCCUAAUUUCUUACUUUAAAAAAUUAGUCAUGUUAGAUUACUUUCCCUUUGGGAAUUUGCAGGAAUCACAAAAUUAAGUCAAUAAUAGUUACCCCUCUUGUCUUUGCAAUCAGCCAUGAAAGCAUGAGGGCAAAGCAGAUGUGUGUGCCUUAUAAACACAUUUUAAAACAUGUAUCCCUUCUUUCCUUAGCAGAGUUCACUCUACAUUAAUUUUUGCUCAAUAUCUGCUCUUCUAUUUCCCUCUGCCCUUUGCUCUACAAGAUGACAUGCAAAUAUUCUUUUGCUCAGUUUCCAAAUGUUAAUCAAUGAAAAGCUUCCGAAUUGCUACUGUGUCUUAGAUAAUUUAAAAUGAGAUUCACACAUGGAGAAGGUAGCCCCUUGUUGAAUAUUGAAAAAUGCUUUGAAGAUUGGAAUGAACAUAUGAAUAAACACAGAAUCAUUCUUGUAAUAAAACUUUUUGAUCAGCUUAAUUCUAUUUAUCCUAUUUAUUACUGGGAUUCUUUUUCCUCUCACUUUUCUAUCUAGAUUCUGUAGAUUUAAGUCCAGUCUAAUACUGCAGAUAACAAACAUGCACAUUCAUUUUUACAGAGUUGGGUUACAGACUUAACCCUAAAUCAGCUGAGAAGUCCAUGAUUCAUUGAGUGUCUGCCAUGCCCAUAACUCUCUUCUGAUAAAACUGAUGGAUCUCUAGGUCAGAUGCCUGGUACCAUAUGAUCCUGCUGUCCUGGUCAGAACUGGUUUUUUGUUUUUGUUUUUUUUUUUUUUAAUCAGGAAUGAGCCCCAGUCAAAAGAUUUG
rnacentral:lncRNA from 1 species